UACAGAGGGGGCAAGCGUUAUUCGGAAUUAUUGGGCGUAAAGGGCGCGUAGGCGGCUUGGCAAGUGGAUGGUGAAAUCCCUCGGCUUAACCGAGGAACUGCCGUCCAAACUGCUUCGCUUGAGACCGGGAGAGGUGAGUGGAAUUCCCAGUGUAGCGGUGAAAUGCGUAGAUAUCGGGAGGAACAUCAGUGGCGAAGGCGGC
rnacentral:rRNA from 1 species